AUGGGAACUGUGAAUGAGAAUCAGGCUCUAAAAUUUGCAUAAAGUCUUUACUAACUAAACCAUCUACCUAGUCCUUUAAGUUUAAGCUUCUUCUUCUUUUCAUUUAUUUAUUUUAUUGAGUGUAUUGUCACUGUCUUCAGACACACCAGAAGAAGGCAUCAGAUCCUAUUACAGAUGGUUGUGAACCACCAUGUGGUUGCUGGGAAUUGAACUCAGGACUUCUGGAAGAGCAAGCAGUGCUCUUAACCGCUAGGCCAUCUCUCCAGCCCAGGUUUAAGCUUCUUAACGUUAGUAAACACACAUUGAAUUCUAAAAGAAUGCCUUUAACAUUCAAAAUGAGAAAAUGGCAUUUCCUCAUCUUCAGAAAGCAAAGAACUUCGCUGACCAGAAGAGAGGCUACCACUCUUUGGAUGGAUGGGUAAGUCUCCUUCUCUACCUGGGGUGGAAGUUUUAGAAGUUUUAGGGUUUUAGAAGUUGCUUGAUCUUUUCUGACCUUUUAGGUCAAUUGCUAGUGUGAUGUUUGGACUCACCCAUUUUGCCUCCUCUACUGGAGAGUGCCGCUAGCCCAUUUGUAAACAAGUACUGUGAAACCUUCAUUUGAGAAUAUUCCUUUUGAAUAUUUUGCUGCAAGCUUCUCUAUUCAAUCAUUAUCCUGUAUAGAUGUUUUAAUUUGUUUUUUGACAUAAUACUUGCACAUAUUUUUAAGGGACAACCUAAUGUUUGAAUUUCGGUUUUUACUGAAGAAAGGCUGACUCACGGGACACCCACCAUCUUAAAUCUUUAUCCUUUGUUUAUGAAGAAUUUCUUUCAAAAUUGUUUAAAAUUAUUUUUGUGGUAUCUAAUACAGUUAAUUUCUUAUGCUCUACUGUGGCAUAGAGCUCCAGAAUUGUUCUCUCCCAACUAAUUAUUGACCAUAUCUGUCUUCAUUCUACAUUGCACAUCUUCUAGUAAUUGCUCCUAUUUUCUUGAUUACUAUGACAUCAACAUUGUUAGUAUCCAUGUGCACGAGACUUUUAAAUAGUUGCCUUUCUUUGUCUACAUUGCCUUACAUUGGAGUUAAUAUUCAGCCAUUAUACAUGAUCAUAUCCAUUAGUAAAAUACAGACACAAUACCACAUCCAUGAUAAAUGGAAGCUACCUUGAUCCCUACCUCAUAUCUGUGUGUGUGUGUGUGUGUGUGUGUGUGUGUGUGUGUGUGUGUGUUGGUAUAUAUAUGACCCCUGUUACAAAGGGCACAACAUUCAGGAACCAGUUUCUGCAGUCUUGAACUCACAGAGAUCUGCCUGCCUCUGCUUCUCCUGGAAAUAAUGGUGUGCUCCACCAUGCCUGGCUUAAAGAUACAUUUUGAUAUCACAAAAGGUUUAAUGAUGAUCAAUGUUUGCACCACCCUCUAAACAACUGAGCUAACCAGACAGUUAGGACAAUGAUUUAUGAAGUUCCUAAAAUAGUUUGUUCAAUGCCCAGCAAAGAAUUCUUUCCCUUUCAUUACUUAACAUCAUGGCAAAUUACACCCACACCUUAUUUCACAUGUUCAGGUUAUCUUAUUAUAGUUUAAGAAAACAAAGAUGACAUGUAUCUGGUUGUAUAACUUUUGCUGAUUUUCUUUUAUAUAUGUGGGCCCCCAAAUCUGAGGCUAUGUUUUAAGGGCUUGCUUUUGAUUAGCCUCUCUUGCCACUAGAUGGACAGUAGUGACAGGUUGCCAUUUGGUAAAUCUAGCCUCUAAAUAUAUCUGUUCAAGGGUAAGGUUCAUGAGUAAGGGUUUGAAAUAUCUGUUGAAAUAUUACUAUUUGAGCUUCAAAAGUGAACACCAAGGGUUGGGGAUUUAGCUCAGUGGUAGAGGGCUUGCCUACCAAGCUCAAGGCCCUGGGUUCGGUCCCCAGCUCCGGAAAAAAAAAAAAAGGAAGAAAGAAAAAAAGUGAACACCAAAUAAGUUUAUUUCCCUGUCAGUUACUAACUAUAAAUAAUGAAUAAAAGAAACCUUUUGCCUAUGCCACAUCUCCUUAUACUAAUAUGAGAAGGCAAGGGGAGGUUUUUAAGCACCAGAAGCAAUGAUAGUUAAUAAUGAAGCUCCCAUCUUCCUGCUAGGACAAACGAAUCCAGGAAGAGCCUUCCUGAUAGCCUGGGGUUUCCAUGGAGCCACAAGUGGCCUUACUUCAUUGGGGAAGGGCAGUUACUAUGCUGGCCAUUAUCACAGGCAGCUCUAGAUAGACCGGAUGUAGUUCCAGAGUGAGAGAACCGACCAGAAACAAUGUCCCUCUUCUGCUGUUCUUGCUGUGAUCUAUACAUAACGUGGGUCCACGCUUAGAAGAUCCCUAAAUGUCAUAAAACUAUCCUGCUACAGGGUCGUUUGCACCUUCACUUAACUGUUGUAUCAUAAGCAAGCACAUAAUCUUGCUUUUAGGUUAAAGCUUCCCAUAUGUAAGUCGAAUUUGAGGAACAUUUCAGGGAAGAAAGUUUCCUUUGUACUCGCUUGAAAAACCUCAUAGGAAACACUCACUGUGAAUUUGGUGUUACCAUGAAGUGGUCUUUAGAUCUUAGAGCUGUCCUGCUUCACUAAUGAUGAUACACAUGAAUGAAUUAAAGACGGUGUUUUCUACAAUAUGAGAAAAUCUAUAAACAAAUUGCUAAGAAAUACUAGAGAAAUAGGCAGAGGUGGAAGAUGUGGCUCAGCUGGUAGAGAGUUUGCGAGUGGAGAGAAAGCCCAGGCUUCCUUCCCUUGGGACAUGUCCUACAAGCUAGAAGGUAGCCAGAGCCACAUUUGUCUCAAACACAGAAACAAACAAAGCUCUUAGCUUAGUAAAUCAUGAACUGGGCUUAGUGGUGGGCUUUAAGCACACUCUGGAGGUAGAGGCAGGUAGAUCUCUGUGAGUUCAAGACCAGUUUGCCCUAUAUAUUAAGUUCCACGACAGCCAGUGCUACUUAGACCAUGAGGAGAGGGGGAGAGAAAGAGGGAGGGACCAACCAACAGAGGCAGGGGAGGAAGGAGGGAGGAAGGGAGAAAGGGAGGUGGGAGAGAGAGAAAUAGGCAGGUUCAAGAUUAAUCAUAGAUCAUCGUAAGAAUUAAAAUGGUCAACUCACUAGCAAAAGAAACUCAAAAUUUGUUUUAAUUUCAUAUAGGUAUGCACAUGUAUAUGUAUAUACUUAUUAGUAGGGAGGGGUGGCUGUGUACUACCACUCAUGUGAAGGUCAGAAAGAAACUUGACCUCUCCUUCCACCAGUGAGUUCUGGGGAUCCAUCCUAGGGUCAGGUUGGUGGCAGUAUCUUCACAGCUGAGCCAUCUUGCAAGCCUCUCAAAGUUCUUAACGAUGCCUUCUCCCUUCUGAAAAUCCUAACGAUGGUAUUAAGCAUGACUGACAGGAGAAUUGGAUGGAGGGCAAACUUAGAGGUAAUUUCCAGAGGAAAAUCUUGCAAUCGUUAUGUAAUAACUUGAAAGAGAAUCUAUCGUGUUACGACAGAAAAUGUGUAAAACACUGAAACUUUAAAAUUCAAACAAUGGCUAAAUGACACACUAUGUUGCUCUGUUUUUCACAUAAUCCACAUUUUAUCAGAUUUUAAGAAGGAUCGAUUGAUUUGAGACUGAGUCUGAUUUUGUAACCCAAACUGGCCCUGAAUUUCCAGUAAUUCUGCAAGCUGGGUCUGCUCAGAGUUGGGAUUACAGGAAGGAACCCCAGUGUCAGAUUUACCACCCAUUUUUUUUUGGCUGGCCUUGAAGAGCUGAGGGGAGUAGAAAAUCAAAAACUCCUCCUGUCCCAGGUCACUGGGAAGCUGAGUUCCAGUUGCUUCAUUAUGUAGAUCAAUGCACUCAGGCCUCUAGUUUGUCAUUUCACCUGCUGCUGUUUGUGCUGUUUCUGGGACCGCCCACUGUGGAUUCUGGGGCACAGAGGUUCUUUCUAGAAGGUUACACAACUGCUGCUCCAACAAUUCCAAAUAGUGUGUCUGACAUCCAGUAACCCGGAUCUUUGUUUCCGUUCAAGGAGCAGUCUGCCACUGUACCAUAGAGUAGAUAGACUUCCAGUAUUAUACACUGUGUCAUAAGCUCAAAAGUUACACUGUAGACUAAUCAGCAAUAUAGAGUACAUUCCUAAGCUUUUUCACUUUGAAACAGGGUUUCUCUGUGUAUCCCUGGCUGUCCUGGAACUCUCAAUAGAACUAACUGGCCUUGAACUCAGAGAUCCAGCUGCUCCUGCCUCCAGAACUCUGGGAUCAAAGGCAUGUGCCACCACCACCACCACCACCACCGACUGGCUAGCACUUCAAGUUCUAACUGACUCACUUAUUAAUUUACUGAUUUAUAACGUAUUAAAUGCUAUCCAUGCUGUAAACAUUCUCACCUGUUUUUCUUUUUAAUGCAAAAACCAUAGCUCAACCUCCUUAAAGAAAAUUUCCCACCUCAGCUUCACCAUGAUUCUGUGUUUAUAAUUCUCCAAUUUUCCUCAAAAGCAGUUGCUUUGUGUGCUUUCUAUUAGGUCUCAGACCUGGGACAAAUG
ensembl:lncRNA